rnacentral:lncRNA from 1 species
UUUUUUUUUUUUUUUUUUGCAUUUACUCAAUCAGUUGUCCCCAACACCACUUUUGUUGAAAAGCCCAUUUCUCUUUGAAUGGAAUUAGCACCUUGGUCAGAGGUUAUAUUGCUUUAUAUAUUCGACUUUAAGUUCUAUACUUAAAAUUUUAAUUAUCAAAAACUUGUAUAAAGUUUUGAAAUCAGCAAGCGAGUCUUCCAACUUUGUUUGUUUGUUUGUUUGUUUGUUUUGCUUUGUUUUGUUUCAAGAUUGUUUUAGCGAUUUUGGGCCAUCUGAAUUUUCAUAUAGAUUUGAGGGUCCCUAUGUCCGUUUAUACAAAGAAAUUGGAAGUGUAAUAAUAAUUGAGUGUAUCUGUAUAGCAAUAUAUGGUAGUAUUCUAAUAAUACUAAUUAUUCUAAUCCAUAAGAAUGGAAUAUCUUUCUUCUUGCUCUCAUUGUUAACUUUUUCAUGUUUUGUAGCUUUCAAUAUACAGAUUUUUUUAAAGAUUCAUUUAUUUUAUGUAUAUGAGUACAUUGUUGCUGUCUUCAGACAAACCAGAAGAGGGCAUCAGAUAUCAUUACAGAUGGUUGUGAGUCAGCAUGGGGUUGCUGGGAUUUGAACUCAGGACCUUUGGAAGAGCAGUCAGUGCUCUUAACUGUUGAGCCAUCUCUCCAGCCCCUCAGUUUGCCUUCUUAUAGAACCCAAGAGCCCAGGGAUGGCACCAUCCACAAUGGGCCCUCCCUGCUUGAUCACUGAUUGAGAAAAUGUCUUAUAUCUGGAUCUCAUGGAGGCAUUUCCUCAUCUGAAGCUCCUUUCUCUGUGAUAACUCCAGCUUGUGUCAAAUUGACACACAAAACCAGCCAGUACAGCCCUCCUUUUCAUUUUAAUUCUUUGAGGUUUUGUUUUAUAAGACACCAUCUCACUAUGUAGCCUUGGCUGACCUGGAGCUUGCUCUGUACUCCAGGCUGACCUUGAACUCAUAGAGAUCCAGCUUCCUCUGCCUCCCAGUGCUGGGAUUAAAGGCGUGUGCCACCAUGCCCAGCUAUAAAUAUAUUUUUAAAAAGAAUAAAGCCUGGUGGUUCCAAGGUCUCCAUCUCAACACCCCAUCCUAAAGUGUGAGUUUACUUAGAGAGAGAGGGGUGAGUAGGUAAGUAGGUAGGUACAUACAUAUUGUGGUGCACAUAUGGAGUUCAGAAGACAACUUUUGGGACUCAAUCCUCUCCUUUCACCUUAUUGAGGUGUUUCCAUUGUUUCUAUUGCUGAGCAGUGAAUUCCUGGAUAGCUGGCUCACAGAUUGCCAGAUGAUUCUUUAGGCUCUGCCUCCCAUGUCUCCAUAGGAAUAGCAUUAUAGAUGCUCACCAUCACAUCUACUGGCUUGCUUUUUCUUUCUUUUCUUCUUUCUUUCUUUCUUUCUUUCUUUCUUUCUUUGUUUAUUUUGGUGGUUUUGAGACAGGAUUGUUCUGUAUAGUAUUGGUUAUCCUGGAACUCACUCUGUAGACCAGGCUGGCCUCGAAUUCACAGAAAUCCACCUGCCUCUGCCUUGCAAGUACUGGGAUUUAAGGCGUGCACUCCUCCAAAUCACCCCUACCACCCCACUCCCCAGCCACAUCAACUUUUUACUUAUAUUUCAGACAUGGAAGUCAGGUCAUCAGGUAGUGCUUUUUACACACUGCUUUAUUAUUUUUAUGAUGACAUUGUAAAUAGAAUAGGCGUCUGAUUUUUAAUUAGUGGUCAGCACUGGAUUCUGAAUGAACCUUAUAUAUGUCUGACCAGAGCUUUUCCAUUGAACUACAGGCCUAACUCUCUUUUUUAAAUUUUUAUUUGGAGAUGUGGUCUCACAAUGUUGCCCAAGCUGGCCACAAAUUUUAUAUCAUUCUAUUAUUGUCUUCUAAAUAGCUGGGAUUAUAUGCUCGUACUAUCCAUCAUUCCUGAUUAAUUUUCUUAUUUCAUUUCAGAUUUUUAUUAUAAGCAUUUAGUAACACAUUUUUAUAAUUCAUAUCAAACACAUUAUUUCUAAUAGAUUUCUAAUGGAUUUCUUAGAAUCUUUCAUGUGGUCUUUGAAAUUUAAUUUACUUCUUCCUUUCCAAUAUGUAGGUGUUUGAUUUAAUUUUUAUUUAAUCAUUCUGAUUACAACCUGUAUGUAUUAGCUACUUUUCUGAUGCUGUGAUAAUAUAUCAUGAUCAAAAACAACUUAAGGAGGAAAGGAUUUAUUUUACCUUAUGGCUCUAGAGGGAUGAAGUCCAUCCUAGUGAGGAAGGAUAGGCAGAAGCAGUAAGCAGACAGAUCACAUUUAAUACCACACUUUCUCAGACUGGCCAGUGAUAUAAAUAAUGACACUGAGUCUUUUUAAUAUUUUAAAGCUUAGACCUUUGCUGGGCAAUCUCCCAACUACUCUGUUCCGUCUGAUUCUAUCCUCUGACCUGACUCGAAGUCAAGUCUAUCGCUCUGCUCCAUCCAUCCACCCCAAGUCAGCUGGCAAAUCACCCUUGUCUGAUUCUUCUCCCAGCGUCCCUCUCUCUGCCCAUGAGAUCCACCCUCCACUUCCUGCCCAGCUAUUGGCUGUGAGAUCAUUAUUACAACCAAUCAGAUACAAUUUUAGAUUACCUUAGGCUGGUGAGGAGGAAUGACUAUUUACAAAAUAUGAGACGGUUGAUGGACCAUAAG